AUUGAACGCUGGCGGCAUGCUUUACACAUGCAAGUCGAACGGCAGCGCGGGCUUCGGCCUGGCGGCGAGUGGCGAACGGGUGAGUAAUGCAUCGGAACGUGCCCAGUAGUGGGGGAUAGCGCGCCGAAAGCCGGAUUAAUACCGCAUACGACCUGAGGGUGAAAGCGGGGGAUCGACAGGCCUCGCGCUAUUGGAGCGGCCGAGGUCGGAUUAGCUAGUUGGUGGGGUAAAGGCCUACCAAGGCGACGAUCCGUAGCUGGUCUGAGAGGAUGACCAGUCACACUGGAACUGAGACACGGCCCAGACUCCUACGGGAGGCAGCAGUGGGGAAUAUUGGACAAUGGGCGCAAGCCUGAUCCAGCCAUGCCGCGUGUGGGAAGAAGGUCUUCGGAUUGUAAAGCACUUUUGUUCGGGAGGAAGGCCAGUGAGCUAAUACCUCGCUGGGUUGACGGUACCGGCAGAAUAAGCACCGGCUAACUACGUG
rnacentral:rRNA from 1 species